CAUGGUUAGAUCAACGCCAAUAUCGAAUUAAGGAAAAGAGGCAAAGGUUAAGUCUUAAUCUCAGCAGAAAGCAAAGGUGAGCCAAAUAGUUCUUCGCGAAGGAGGCCACCGUAGCGCAGAGCUGUUAGUAUCCCCUCUUUAUACUGGCUGCGUUUGUAAGGCACUCCCCAAAAAGUUGUCGCACUGCGGCACGCCGUUCGGAAAGAAAGGGCGCAAUAAAAUGGCGCCCUCUUAUCAUUAAGCUUUCGGAUAGCAUUAAAUGAUAUAUGGGGAUGAAGGAGUGCUGUUGCAUUAUGGGUUCAUUACACUGUCAAGUGAACGUUUGGAGGAAGGGCGACUUCGAAUCCAGUCCGAAAUGCAUCAUUCACCACUAAAACAAUCCCCGGCCAGCAGUAUUGAAGGCGGUACAAGUUGGACUUAUACUUAUACGAGACUUAUACGAGUCCUUCAGUUUCAUGCUCUUUCCAGGAAUGAGAAAAUUCGGCCGGAAGGAAAGCAUCGUUAGACUUUCUGUUUAGUUGGCGGAAAACCAUGCUUACUCUCCAUGUACUAUUGCUGUCCAAGGAUAUGCAAUAUACCCAUUUGGCAAAAGUACGUCAACCCCCUUAUAGGGCAUGUUUUGGAUUACUAGCUUCCCGGAGGCAUAGUACUGCUUAAAUAGUCUGUAGUCGGAGGUGACGAUUCUGUGCUAAGUGCCCACGGAGGUCCCCCUUUGGAACUGUGCGCCGAUGAAUGUUUUCCUACUUUAACUUUGAAUUUCGACUUUUGCAGAGGCGUGACCAUUUGCCUGUAGAACGUACUACU
rnacentral:sRNA from 1 species